rnacentral:rRNA from 1 species
GGGUUGUGAGGUUAAGCGACUAAGCGUACACGGUGGAUGCCCUGGCAGUCAGAGGCGAUGAAGGACGUGCUAAUCUGCGAUAAGCGUCGGUAAGGUGAUAUGAACCGUUAUAACCGGCGAUUUCCGAAUGGGGAAACCCAGUGUGUUUCGACACACUAUCAUUAACUGAAUCCAUAGGUUAAUGAGGCGAACCGGGGGAACUGAAACAUCUAAGUACCCCGAGGAAAAGAAAUCAACCGAGAUUCCCCCAGUAGCGGCGAGCGAACGGGGAGCAGCCCAGAGCCUGAAUCAGUGUGUGUGUUAGUGGAAGCGUCUGGAAAGGCGCGCGAUACAGGGUGACAGCCCCGUACACAAAAAUGCACAUAUUGUGAGCUCGAUGAGUAGGGCGGGACACGUGGUAUCCUGUCUGAAUAUGGGGGGACCAUCCUCCAAGGCUAAAUACUCCUGACUGACCGAUAGUGAACCAGUACCGUGAGGGAAAGGCGAAAAGAACCCCGGCGAGGGGAGUGAAAAAGAACCUGAAACCGUGUACGUACAAGCAGUGGGAGCCUCUUUUAUGGGGUGACUGCGUACCUUUUGUAUAAUGGGUCAGCGACUUAUAUUCUGUAGCAAGGUUAACCGAAUAGGGGAGCCGAAGGGAAACCGAGUCUUAACUGGGCGUUAAGUUGCAGGGUAUAGACCCGAAACCCGGUGAUCUAGCCAUGGGCAGGUUGAAGGUUGGGUAACACUAACUGGAGGACCGAACCGACUAAUGUUGAAAAAUUAGCGGAUGACUUGUGGCUGGGGGUGAAAGGCCAAUCAAACCGGGAGAUAGCUGGUUCUCCCCGAAAGCUAUUUAGGUAGCGCCUCGUGAAUUCAUCUCCGGGGGUAGAGCACUGUUUCGGCAAGGGGGUCAUCCCGACUUACCAACCCGAUGCAAACUGCGAAUACCGGAGAAUGUUAUCACGGGAGACACACGGCGGGUGCUAACGUCCGUCGUGAAGAGGGAAACAACCCAGACCGCCAGCUAAGGUCCCAAAGUCAUGGUUAAGUGGGAAACGAUGUGGGAAGGCCCAGACAGCCAGGAUGUUGGCUUAGAAGCAGCCAUCAUUUAAAGAAAGCGUAAUAGCUCACUGGUCGAGUCGGCCUGCGCGGAAGAUGUAACGGGGCUAAACCAUGCACCGAAGCUGCGGCAGCGACACUGUGUGUUGUUGGGUAGGGGAGCGUUCUGUAAGCCUGUGAAGGUGUACUGUGAGGUAUGCUGGAGGUAUCAGAAGUGCGAAUGCUGACAUAAGUAACGAUAAAGCGGGUGAAAAGCCCGCUCGCCGGAAGACCAAGGGUUCCUGUCCAACGUUAAUCGGGGCAGGGUGAGUCGACCCCUAAGGCGAGGCCGAAAGGCGUAGUCGAUGGGAAACAGGUUAAUAUUCCUGUACUUGGUGUUACUGCGAAGGGGGGACGGAGAAGGCUAUGUUGGCCGGGCGACGGUUGUCCCGGUUUAAGCGUGUAGGCUGGUUUUCCAGGCAAAUCCGGAAAAUCAAGGCUGAGGCGUGAUGACGAGGCACUACGGUGCUGAAGCAACAAAUGCCCUGCUUCCAGGAAAAGCCUCUAAGCAUCAGGUAACAUCAAAUCGUACCCCAAACCGACACAGGUGGUCAGGUAGAGAAUACCAAGGCGCUUGAGAGAACUCGGGUGAAGGAACUAGGCAAAAUGGUGCCGUAACUUCGGGAGAAGGCACGCUGAUAUGUAGGUGAAGUCCCUCGCGGAUGGAGCUGAAAUCAGUCGAAGAUACCAGCUGGCUGCAACUGUUUAUUAAAAACACAGCACUGUGCAAACACGAAAGUGGACGUAUACGGUGUGACGCCUGCCCGGUGCCGGAAGGUUAAUUGAUGGGGUCAGCGCAAGCGAAGCUCUUGAUCGAAGCCCCGGUAAACGGCGGCCGUAACUAUAACGGUCCUAAGGUAGCGAAAUUCCUUGUCGGGUAAGUUCCGACCUGCACGAAUGGCGUAAUGAUGGCCAGGCUGUCUCCACCCGAGACUCAGUGAAAUUGAACUCGCUGUGAAGAUGCAGUGUACCCGCGGCAAGACGGAAAGACCCCGUGAACCUUUACUAUAGCUUGACACUGAACAUUGAGCCUUGAUGUGUAGGAUAGGUGGGAGGCUUAGAAGUGUGGACGCCAGUCUGCAUGGAGCCGACCUUGAAAUACCACCCUUUAAUGUUUGAUGUUCUAACGUGGACCCGUGAUCCGGGUUGCGGACAGUGUCUGGUGGGUAGUUUGACUGGGGCGGUCUCCUCCUAAAGAGUAACGGAGGAGCACGAAGGUUGGCUAAUCCUGGUCGGACAUCAGGAGGUUAGUGCAAUGGCAUAAGCCAGCUUGACUGCGAGCGUGACGGCGCGAGCAGGUGCGAAAGCAGGUCAUAGUGAUCCGGUGGUUCUGAAUGGAAGGGCCAUCGCUCAACGGAUAAAAGGUACUCCGGGGAUAACAGGCUGAUACCGCCCAAGAGUUCAUAUCGACGGCGGUGUUUGGCACCUCGAUGUCGGCUCAUCACAUCCUGGGGCUGAAGUAGGUCCCAAGGGUAUGGCUGUUCGCCAUUUAAAGUGGUACGCGAGCUGGGUUUAGAACGUCGUGAGACAGUUCGGUCCCUAUCUGCCGUGGGCGCUGGAGAACUGAGGGGGGCUGCUCCUAGUACGAGAGGACCGGAGUGGACGCAUCACUGGUGUUCGGGUUGUCAUGCCAAUGGCACUGCCCGGUAGCUAAAUGCGGAAGAGAUAAGUGCUGAAAGCAUCUAAGCACGAAACUUGCCCCGAGAUGAGUUCUCCCUGACCCUUUAAGGGUCCUGAAGGAACGUUGAAGACGACGACGUUGAUAGGCCGGGUGUGUAAGCGCAGCGAUGCGUUGAGCUAACCGGUACUAAUGAACCGUGAGGCUUAACCUUACAACGCCGAAG